GGACUACCAGGGUAUCUAAUCCUGUUUGCUCCCCACGCUUUCGCGCAUCAGCGUCAGAAACGGACCAGUGAGCCGCCUUCGCCACCGGUGUUCUUCCCAAUAUCUACGAAUUUCACCUCUACACUGGGAAUUCCACUCACCUCUUCCGUUCUCUAGCCAUGCAGUCUCAAAGGCCGUUCCAGGGUUGAGCCCCGGGAUUUCACCCCUGACUUACAUAACCGCCUACGCGCGCUUUACGCCCAGUAAUUCCGAACAACGCUAGCCCCCUUCGUAUUACCGCGGCUGCUGGCAC
rnacentral:rRNA from 1 species